GCCUCUUAGCGGGGGAUAACUAUUGGAAACGAUAGCUAAUACCGCAUAAAAGUCGAUAUCGCAUGAUAUUGAUUUGAAAGGUGCAAUUGCAUCACUAAGAGAUGGACCUGCGUUGUAUUAGCUAGUUGGUGAGGUAACGGCUCACCAAGGCGACGAUACAUAGCCGACCUGAGAGGGUGAUCGGCCACACUGGGACUGAGACACGGCCCAG
rnacentral:rRNA from 1 species